rnacentral:rRNA from 1 species
UCGAGAAUCUUCGGCAAUGGGCGCAAGCCUGACCGAGCGACGCCGCGUGGAGGAUGAAGGCCUUCGGGUUGUAAACUCCUGUCGAGGGGGAAAAAGGGUCGUAAGACCUUGAUUGAUCCCUGGAGGAAGCACGGGCUAAGUUCGUGCCAGCAGCCGCGGUAAGACGAACCGUGCGAACGUUAUUCGGAAUCAUUGGGCUUAAAGCGCGUGUAGGCGGAUUCGUGCGUCUGUCGUUGAAAUCCCCCGGCUCAACCGGGGAAGUGGCGCGGAUACGACGAGUCUGGAGGGGCAUAGGGGGACCUGGAACUUCCGGUGGAGCGGUGAAAUGCGUUGAGAUCGGAAGGAACGCCCGUGGCGAAAGCGAGGUCCUGGAUGCCUACUGACGCUGAGACGCGAAAGCCAGGGGAGCGAACG